rnacentral:rRNA from 1 species
AGGGUUUGAUCCUGGCUCAGAUUGAACGCUGGCGGCAUGCCUAACACAUGCAAGUCGAACGGUAACAGAUAAGAUGAUCUCUUCGGAGUGAAUCUUUGCUGACGAGUGGCGGACGGGUGAGUAAUGCUUGGGAAUCUGCCCAAUAGUGGGGGAAAACUCGGGGAAACCCGGGCUAAUACCGCAUAAUCUCUACGGAGGAAAGAGGGCCUCUACAUGUAAGCUCUCGCUAAUGGAUGAGCCCAAGUCAGAUUAGCUAGUUGGUAAGGUAAUGGCUUACCAAGGCUACGAUCUGUAGCUGGUCUGAGAGGAUGAUCAGCCACACUGGGACUGAGACACGGCCCAGACUCCUACGGGAGGCAGCAGUGGGGAAUAUUGCACAAUGGGCGCAAGCCUGAUGCAGCAAUGCCGCGUGUGUGAAGAAGGCUCUAGGGUUGUAAAGCACUUUCAAUAGAGAAGAAAAGCUUGAAAUUAAUACUUUCAAGCCUUGACGUAACCUAUACAAGAAGCACCGGCUAAUUCCGUGCCAGCAGCCGCGGUAAUACGGGAGGUGCGAGCGUUAAUCGGAAUUACUGGGCGUAAAGCGAGCGUAGGCUGUUAAUUAAGUCGAAUGUGAAAUCCCCGGGCUCAACCUGGGAA